CUGCUGCCUCCCGUAGGAGCUUGGGCCGUGUCUCAGUCCCAAUGUGGCCGUUCACCCUCUCAGGCCGGCUACUGAUCGUCGCUUUGGUGGGCCGUUACCCCGCCAACUGGCUAAUCAGACGCGGAUCCAUCGUAUACCACCGGAGUUUUUCACACUGUUCCAUGCGGAACCGUGCGCUUAUGCGGUAUUAGCACCUAUUUCUAAGUGUUAUCCCCCUGUAUACGGCAGGUUAUCCACGCGUUACUCACCCGUCCGCCACUAA
rnacentral:rRNA from 1 species